rnacentral:rRNA from 1 species
CACGUAGGGGGCAAGCGUUGUCCGGAUUUAUUGGGCGUAAAGAGCUCGUAGGUGGUUCGGUAAGUCGGGUGUUAAACCCCCAGGCUCAACCUGGGGACGCCACUCGAUACUGCUGUGACUAGAGUCCGGUAGGGGAGCGUGGAAUUCCUGGUGUAGCGGUGAAAUGCGCAGAUAUCAGGAGGAACACCGAUGGCGAAGGCAGGUCUCUGGGCCGAUACUGACGCUGAGGAGCGAAAGCGUGGGGAGCGAACAGG